GGACUGGCUGCUCAAACUCCACAAUUUAAUGAAAAAUCUCAGAUGAUGACUCAGAAAACCUCUAAUGAUCUGAGGAAUAUAUUAAGGGAUUCCAGAGUCAAAGGCUGAUCAUGGAGGGCAUUGAUGAGGGAAGACUUCAGCACGUUUUUCAGCACCAGGACAAGCAUCAUUGCUCAAGGAGAGCUUGGUUGACAACAGGAAGUUAGAAGGAGUCUGAAUUGUAACAAGUGUGGCAAGAGCACCAAGAUCACUGUGUGUGUGUGUUCACAGAAAAUGUACCAAAGGGAGAAGCCUUAAAAACAAAUGGCAGGUGUGGGCACCAGAAAAUCAACACAUCGGGAAGAGAAAAAUGGCAUGGUUUUACUGUAAUUGUAAAAAGACGCCCUAAAGAGUGUCUAUCGGAUCACCCUCAAGUUGGGUCAAACGGCUCCUCUUCUCGGCUUUUCGGGAGCAACCCUAUCUCAACAUUCACCAUCUUAAGAUGAGCAGACUGCAAGUUUGCCUCUCCCACCAGUAUGGGAGCUGCCGAAGCGGCAAGAACAGCGUUUCCGUCCAUCGAGCGCCAGGUCACCAGUCAGCUCCAGUCCUAUUUUGAGUUGAAGUAAAAGCUCCUCCCUAGAUGGCCAGUGCACGUCUUUAAAAAGCGACUCCUUUCCCACAAAGGAAAUACGACUGGUUCGCAUCUAUCAAGGGUUGGCGUUGGGAUAAGAGGGUGAAGUAUCAGCUGGCCCUGAUUCUCUGAAUUCCCGGACCCAAUAACGCGACCAAGCACCGUGACUCCCAGGAAAACUAGCGGAGUGAGCGCGGCUGAGGAAAUUACUGACACCGGAAGUCACGUGAGCGGCUGCCCCUAAGGUCGCUAUCUCGACAGUCGACUAUUCAGCCUUGCAGGCGCCUCUGGCGGGCUUCACU
rnacentral:lncRNA from 1 species